AUGCAAGUCGUGCGAGAAAGUGCCUUCGGGUGCGAGUAGAGCGGCGGACGGGUGAGUAACGCGUAGGAAUCUACCUAGUAGAAGGGGAUAGCCCGGGGAAACUCGGAUUAAUACCGUAUACCUCCUUAGGGAGAAAGAGGGCUUAGCUUUGAUGCUCUCGCUAUUAGAUGAGCCUGCGUAAGAUUAGCUUGUUGGUGAGGUAAUGGCUCACCAAGGCGACGAUCUUUAGCUGGUCUGAGAGGACGAUCAGCCACAUUGGGACUGAGACACGGCCCAGACUCCUACGGGAGGCAGCAGUGGGGAAUAUUGGACAAUGGGCGCAAGCCUGAUCCAGCCAUACCGCGUGUGUGAAGAAGGCUUUCGGGUUGUAAAGCACUUUAAGUAAGGAGGAAAAGAUUGUAGUUAAUACCUACAAUCCGUGACGU
rnacentral:rRNA from 1 species